UAGAAAAAUGUUCAAUAAACCCAAAAUAAUUAAAACACCUAAACAUGCUUCACACUUUGUCUUAUUACCCCACAGGGAGGUGUAGGGUACUUAUUCUCUUUGAUAAGGUUCCCAGGGAACUCCUUCCUUGAGCAUUUGUAAUAGUUGAUGCCAAAACCCAAAUUUAGCAAGUCUGUGGAGCUCAUAGUAGGAACUUAAAUAUGUGUUGAAUGGGUGAAAUCACAUUCAGAGAACUAAACACCAAGAAACCAGCUAGGAGGUGAGAUAAGAGACAAAUGCUGCUAUCACUUAGAUGUGGAAGCCAAAAAGAAAAAAAAAGGAAAAAAGAAAUCCACAAUGAACUUUUCUGUAAAAUCAGUAGAAUGGUUAUGACUGGGGCUGGGCUGAGGGUGGAGUGGGAAUUGGGGAAAAGUUUAAAGGGACAGACUUGCAGCUAGGAGGUAACUAAGUGCUGGAGGUCUAAGGUACAACACAGUGAUCAGAGUCAACUAUACUGUGUUACAGACUUCAAAGUUGCUAAGAGACUAAAUCAUAACUGUUCUCAACACACCAAAAAAGAUAAAUAUGUAAUAUGGUAAAGGCAUUAGCUCACUACUGUAGUCAUCACAUUGCAAUAUAAAAUACAUCAAAUCAAGAUGUUGUAUACUGUAAACUUACAUGAUAUUGUUUGUUAAUUAUAUCUCAAAAAAAAAAAAAAAAAUGCAGCUAGCCCCAGAGAGCUUUCCCAGGCAUAUUCAGAGACUUGCUGCUCCUGUCUAAUUCGAGGAAAUGACGGAACAGAAGCAAAUCUGAGGCAUCCAUCAGUGGCCUUUCAACUCAGUGAUCACUGAUGUUCGCAACAAUGAGGCCACGUACGGCAAUAUUCCUGCAAGUGCCUUCUGGGUCAUCCAAGACGCACAUGAAUUCAGUAGAACUGCAGUAUUAAGUACAUUUUAUCAUGCAAAUUAUGAGAAGGUUGACCACACAAAGACGAUAAGUGUGAUCUCUCUUCUUACCCAGAAGCUAGAUGAAGAAAAAACUCUCCCUGUUCCUUUAUGUCAGAGCACAGAAGAUCUUCCGCUGCCCUCAUCAGGGGCAGGAGCCAAGCCUGGCAUUGUUGGAACUGGAGAGAGACGUGCCAGAGUGCAGAAUGUUCAUUGGGGUGAAUGGAAAGAUGUAGAAGAAGUGUGCUUACAAGGUCUGGACCUUAACCCUCUGAACCACCACAGAACUCCACCACCCAUGUUUUAAACUGGGCUCUUUCCCAAGAUUUUACUGCUGUCCUGAGUGUACCCGCCAGCAGCAAGGGCACUGUCACCUUUCUUACACUCUGCCCCCUUCACCACAGCCAGUGUUAAGAUUUCAUCAAGCAAGCCUGGGAUCAUUUCUCCCUGCCUAACCUGGAUGGAGACCAGGAUGCUGUGUCCUACUGUGGAAGACGCUGGUAUCGUGCCCAAGGGGGAUUGCUACACCAAAAUCAAGUAAGAGAAGAGGGAAGCAUGGGAAGAGUUGACACAGGAGAGGGAGGCAAAGUCACUGCUGAAGCAAGACACGGCACCGCUGCCUUUGAAGAUAGGCAAGGACCAUGACCCAAGGGGUGGAGCCGCUUUCAGAAGCUGCAAAAAUGAGGAAAUGGAUUCCCCUCCAGAGCUUCUGGAGAGAGCAGCCCUGCUGAGACCUUGACUCUGGCCCAGCGAUAAUGAUUUCUCACUCUCGAACUGUAAAAGAAUAAACCACCAAGUGCACGGUGAUUAUUGUUUAAGCCAAC